rnacentral:rRNA from 1 species
CCUACGGGUGACAGCAGUCGAGAAUCAUUCACAAUGGGGGAAACCCUGAUGGUGCGACGCCGCGUGGGGGAAUGAAGGUCUUCGGAUUGUAAACCCCUGUCAUAUGGGAGCAAAUUAAAAAGAUAGUACCACAUGAGGAAGAGACGACUAACUCUGUGCCAGCAACCGCGGUAAUACAGAGGGCUCAAGCGUUGUUCGGAAUCACUGGGCGUAAAGCGUGCGUAGGCUGUUUCGUAAGUCGUGUGUGAAAGGCGCGGGCUCAACCCGCGGACGGCACAUGAUACUGCGAGACUAGAGUAAUGGAGGGGGAACCGGAAUUCUCGGUGUAGCAGUGAAAUGCGUAGAUAUCGAGAGGAACACUCGUGGCGAAGGCGGGUUCCUGGACAUUAACUGACGCUGAGGCACGAAGGCCAGGGGAGCGAAAGGGAUUAGAUACCCGGGUAGUC